UAACAGAAGACGCAAAAAUAGCGAAAGUGACAACGAAGAAAACCCACCCUCCAAGCAACACCGGAACGAAGAAGCCGGAAAGAACUUCACGCAAUUCCAACCAGAAAUGAACAAUAACUCAGAAUCCAACUCUCAAGCGCAAACCAGACAUCGAUAAUAAAGUACUACAUAUUGAGACAUA
rnacentral:lncRNA from 1 species